rnacentral:rRNA from 1 species
GACGAACGCUGGCGGCGUGCUUAACACAUGCAAGUCGAACGAUGAACCGGGUGCUUGCACUUGGGGAUUAGUGGCGAACGGGUGAGUAACACGUGAGUAACCUGCCCUGGACUCUGGGAUAACCCCGAGAAAUCGGGGCUAAUACCGGAUAGGACCUUUCCUCGCAUGAGGUUUGGUGGAAAGUUUUUCGGUCUGGGAUGGACUCGCGGCCUAUCAGCUUGUUGGUGAGGUAAUGGCUCACCAAGGCGUCGACGGGUAGCCGGCCUGAGAGGGUGACCGGCCACACUGGGACUGAGACACGGCCCAGACUCCUACGGGAGGCAGCAGUGGGGAAUAUUGCACAAUGGGCGCAAGCCUGAUGCAGCAACGCCGCGUGCGGGAUGACGGCCUUCGGGUUGUAAACCGCUUUUAGUAGGGAAGAAGGGCUUCGGCUUGACGGUACCUGCAGAAAAAGGACCGGCUAACUACGUGCCAGCCGCCGCAGUAAGAC